rnacentral:rRNA from 1 species
GAUGAACGCUAGCGGGAGGCCUAACACAUGCAAGCCGAGCGGUAUUUCUUCUUCGGGAGAGAGAGAGCGGCGUAUGGGUGCGGAACACGUGUGCAACCUGCCUUUAUCUAGAGGAUAGCCUUUCGAAAGGAAGAUUAAUACUCUAUAAUAUAUUAAUUGGCAUCAAUUGAUAUUGAAAACUCCGGUGGAUAGAGAUGGGCACGCGCAAGAUUAGCUAGUUGGUGAGGUAACGGCUCACCAAGGCAAUGAUCUUUAGGGGGCCUGAGAGGGUGAUCCCCCACACUGGUACUGAGACACGGACCAGACUCCUACGGGAGGCAGCAGUGAGGAAUAUUGGUCGAUGGGUGCAAGCCUGAACCAGCCAUCCCGCGUGAAGGAUUAAGGUCCUAUGGAUUGUAAACUUCUUUUGUAUAGGGAUAAACCUACCCUCGUGAGGGUAGCUGAAGGUACUAUACGAAUAAGCACCGGCUAACUCCGUGCCAGCCGCCGCCGUAAAAC